UGAGAGUUUGAUCCUGGCUCAGGACGAACGCUGGCGGCGUGCUUAACACAUGCAAGUCGAACGGAAAGGCCUCUUCGGAGGUACUCGAGUGGCGAACGGGUGAGUAACACGUGGGCAAUCUGCCCUGCACUUCGGGAUAAGCCUGGGAAACUGGGUCUAAUACCGGAUAGGACCUUUAGACGCAUGUCUUUUGGUGGAAAGCUUUUGCGGUGUGGGAUGGGCCCGCGGCCUAUCAGCUUGUUGGUGGGGUGAUGGCCUACCAAGGCGACGACGGGUAGCCGGCCUGAGAGGGGUCC
rnacentral:rRNA from 1 species